UACGGGGGGUGCAAGCGUUGUUCGGAAUUAUUGGGCGUAAAGAGCGUGUAGGCGGUUUGUUAAGUCUGAUGUGAAAGCCCUGGGCUCAACCCAGGAAGUGCAUUGGAAACUGGCAGACUUGAAUACGGGAGAGGGCAGUGGAAUUCCUAGUGUAGGAGUGAAAUCCGUAGAUAUUAGGAGGAACACCGGUGGCGAAGGCGGCGACCUGGUCCGAUACUGACGCUGAGGCGCGAAAGCGUGGGGAGCAAACAGG
rnacentral:rRNA from 1 species